rnacentral:rRNA from 1 species
AGAGUUUGAUCCUGGCUCAGGAUGAACGCUGACAGAAUGCUUAACACAUGCAAGUCUACUUGAUCCUUCGGGUGAUGGUGGCGGAUGGGUGAGUAACGCGUAAAGAACUUGCCCUGCAGUCUGGGACAACAUUUGGAAACGAAUGCUAAUACCGGAUAUUAUGUGAGUUUCGCAUGAAAUUCAUAUGAAAGCUAUAUGCGCUGCAGGAGAGCUUUGCGUCCUAUUAGCUAGUUGGUGAGGUAACGGCUCACCAAGGCGAUGAUAGGUAGCCGGCCUGAGAGGGUGAACGGCCACAAGGGGACUGAGACACGGCCCUUACUCCUACGGGAGGCAGCAGUGGGGAAUAUUGGACAAUGGACCAAAAGUCUGAUCCAGCAAUUCUGUGUGCACGAUGAAGUUUUUCGGAAUGUAAAGUGCUUUCAGUUGGGACGAAGUAAGUGACGGUACCAACAGAAGAAGCGACGGCUAAAUACGUGCCAGCAGCCGCGGUAAUACGUAUGUCGCAAGCGUUAUCCGGAUUUAUUGGGCGUAAAGCGCGUCUAGGCGGUUUGGUAAGUCUGAUGUGAAAAUGCGGGGCUCAACUCCGUAUUGCGUUGGAAACUGCCAAACUAGAGUACUGGAGAGGUGGGCGGAACUACAAGUGUAGAGGUGAAAUUCGUAGAUAUUUGUAGGAAUGCCGAUGGGGAAGCCAGCCCACUGGACAGAUACUGACGCUAAAGCGCGAAAGCGUGGGUAGCAAACAGGAUUAGAUACCCUGGUAGUCCACGCCGUAAACGAUGAUUACUAGGU